rnacentral:rRNA from 1 species
GACGAACGCUGGCGGCGUGCUUAACACAUGCAAGUCGAGCGGUAAGGCCCUUUCGGGGGUACACGAGCGGCGAACGGGUGAGUAACACGUGGGUGACCUGCCCUUAGCUCUGGGAUAAGCCUGGGAAACUGGGUCUAAUACCGGAUAUGACUCCAUGACGCAUGUUGUGGGGUGGAAAGCCUUGUGCGGCUAGGGAUGGGCCCGCGGCCUAUCAGCUUGUUGGUGGGGUGAUGGCCUACCAAGGCGACGACGGGUAGCCGGCCUGAGAGGGCGACCGGCCACACUGGGACUGAGACACGGCCCAGACUCCUACGGGAGGCAGCAGUGGGGAAUCUUGCGCAAUGGGCGAAAGCCUGACGCAGCGACGCCGCGUGGGGAUGACGCCU